rnacentral:lncRNA from 13 species
AAAAUUAUAAAAUUGAAUGCUAAUUAAAUUAUACAGUUGAAAUAAAUCGAGUCAUUAUUAAAAAUUAUUAAAUGUAUGAGAACGCAAUUUAUACCAUUCUUUUCUUUCAAGCGGAAAACGAUCACCACUUUCGAAACAUCCGGUAUCAUAUUUCAGAUAUUCAUAACGAUGCACUUUAUAUUGAUGCUUCUUACGUGUUGGAAUCGCACGAAGGCUGUUUCGAAAGUGAACAAACCGAUUGCAUACGCAUCGUUUUCUUUUAUCGGCUUUUCACAUUCUUUACAAUAUACUUGGCUAUAUAUUCGAAGAGAAAUAAAAUAUAUCGUAAAUUUAAUGGCUUUUCUUGUGUUUUUCAGCGUCAUUACGUGUCAAGUGUCAGACACUGGAGAAUCGUUCAAGGAUCACUUAUCGUGACCUGUAUUUCUCGAGCUAUACCGAUACUUCUAGGAAACGUGAGCCGGUCCUUACAUUGUCCUUGUUUGUCUGCGAGGAAGAGACCGAGUUACAUGAUCGAAAUAAUCGCAAGAGGCGAAUUUUUGUCUUAUUCUUUUAACGAAUUUGUCAAUGAUCGUCAAAAGUCCAUAAAUUGAAAGCAAACUUGUCAUCGAUAAAUUCAAUUAAUUUCCUUUUUUUUUAAAUGAUUUAUUGUCAGUGAUCGGUAGCACUCGUGCUACACACGCAAUUAUAAAAAUUGCGACACAUUUACAGUGAAAGUGUGCACAUUGUCAUGUUGAAUUUGUGCAAUAAAAGCGGUAUUUUCUGUCUAGACUCUGCAGUUGGAAAAUAUUGCACUAAUCAGUUCUAAAAAUAAUCUGCGAAAUCGUCGUGUUAGACAAACAGAUAUUUGAUGUCUCUUCCAUACGGCUGUAGAAAUGAUUCAUCAAUGAAAAAGCAAUUCGCUCUUAGGCUUAACCAUGCGUCUCAAUUUUUUUGCUGUCAAUCGCAGACCCUAAUAUUAAUUAUUAAAUAUCGUACUAAUUAACAUAUAACGCAACAUACAUUUUUAGAUGGUAUGUAUAAUUUUUUAUAUUCUUAUAUUAAGAUGUAAAAAAUGACGUAAAAAAUAUAUUGGAUAUAGAGAUUCUUUCUUAUUUCACGAAUGCUAUCGAUUCUCUAACGUGUUAUUAUUUUAAGUUUCUAUUAUACAACGAAAAGAUAAAGAAGCAAGCAUGAACCGAAAGCUUUAUAUAAAUACAAAUUUUUAGUGUAUAAUUAGAUAGCACGGAUCAAAAAAUUUUUACAUCGGGUCUGCGAUUAGGCACGCUAAUUCCGUAAAUACAGCGAGAUAUCCGUGUAUUAUCUAACGUGAUUCGAAGGACUUAUUUACAGUGUGAUUCAAUGUAAAUCUUUAGAAGACGCGUACGAGAGAGAAAGGACGUAAUUAACAUUACAAUCGCUUCCUUGCUUUUAACUCGUGACGUAUAUUCGAUUUCACAUACGCGUAUCCUCAACGUCCUAGCUUUUACAAAUUCCUCUCGCACAUAUCAUUCCAAUUUACAUAGUUGUAGCUUAUUACAAAACGGUAUAGUUAUAUACUCAUCAUUACAUAUUGCGAAACUUGUCGUGUGAUGUGUAUUAUUAGAAAUUGAUUAGAUACUUGAGAGAGUAUACUAAUCUUGUCCGGUGACAUGUGCACACCGAACCGGGGAUUCUUAUCAAAAAAUACAAAUCCGCUCAAUAUCAUUGCAGGUUUCAUGCAGAGCAAUAUCAUCCAUUUAACACAUUAUCGACAAUGCGCCAAAUUAUAUCUGUCAUCGUAGAAAUAUCGUCGCAAUCUCUUAUUAUCUUAUUAUAUGGCGCGUAAAUCACUUUCACUACAAUCUCCUCGUCGAUGUUUUCUCGUACUAAUCAUCUGCGCAUCUUUAAAUAUACGACUAAGAUUUAGUAUAGAAAAAGGAUUUUCUAUAGGAAAAUCAUGGUCCGAAGCUGACAUUGGAUCUUUUGGUCUCUCGUACAGCCGAUUAGUUCUAAACGAGAAUUUUUUCAAUUGGUAUAUAAAAAUAAGAUAUAGUAAGUUAUAAGUUCGUUAAUCUUAAUAAAUUAUAAAUGGCGACAAAUGUUAAUUUAUUUCGACAAUGAAUAAAUUAAUUUCCGCAAAAACGAUCAAUUAAUGAAUCUAAUUAACUUUAACCAACUUAAUACACAUUAUCCAUCACAUUAUUGGGACUUGAAAAAGAAUGGUUUUUUUUAAAUCAUUGAUAUCAGAAAUAAAUACAAAUAAUUUUAUUCUUUUUAUUGUUCACUCACAGUUCUGUUUGAUUGUGAUCGAAUAAAAUGAGACAGGAAUCAAAUGAAUACAUAUACUUUUGUUACUGCCAAACAAGACGUAUUGUUAUAUAUUUCUUGAAAAGGUAAAAACUCCGAAGUCAUCAAUAACUGUAAUAAAUUUUGUUCAUGUCCUUUAUUACAUUUUUUUUGUUCAUAGUAUUUUUGCAAUAAAAAAUUUCGAUUUAUUUAUAAAGCAAAGAAAACACAAGUUUAUGGAAUUGAAAAUUAAUAAAUAUAUAAAUUUUAAUAACUAGGAAAACUGAUUAAAUUAAUAUCAAAUAAACUUUUAACUUAAAAAAAUACAAAUGUACAUAUAUACAAUACUUUUAAAAUAACAUUAAAAUAUAUUUUUUAAAGUGCUCAUAUUGUAAUCUGCUAUAAAGCACAAAAUGUGUAAUGAAGGUAAAGAUUAUAUAUUGUAUAAGAAAUUUAUCUAUAUUUAUUUGCACGACAUACUUCAGUGAAGAGUAUAAAUGCAGUGGUAGCAGGCGAUUUACAAAGAAAAGAAUAGUCGCGUGGUAAUAAUAAUAAUUUCACAGUAUUUUUAUACACAAAACUUGUGUACACAGAUAUAGAUUAGUGUCACUUCCUGUCAACAAAAUGUACAAACAAAAUUAAACAGCUGAUAAUUCAUUCUUGGUUACUAAUAGUACAGAAAUAGUCAUUCUUUUUUCUCUUUUUUUUAAAUAGAGGAUCAGCAAGAACAAUAUUAACACAAUGCAUUUAAGAAAGUAUAUACCAUUUAGUUAUCUCAUUUACAUUAUACAUCAUAUCUUCAUCUGUAUUUCCUGCUAAAGAUAUCGGGUAUAAGAACCCAUGUAAAAGAUAAACAACUGUAAUUGUACAUUUAAUGUAAAGUUUAUUGAUACCACGGGAAUAUUCUCGUGAUUAUUCAGAGAUAACUUUUUUUAUAACAUGCAGAUUUCCUAGUAAAGUAAACUUUGCAAACGCAAAACUUCAAUAUAACAGAUUGAGCGUUGGGGACGCUGUGUUAGUAGAUGUUCUACUUAUGAUAUAAAUGGAUAACGAAAAGCAUAUAUAUGUUGAUAAUCUAAAAUAAAAAUAUGCGCUUAAAUUAUUGCAGCUUCAACAUAGCCCAAAA